rnacentral:rRNA from 1 species
CAGCAGCCACGGUAAUACGAAGGGUGCAAGCGUUAAUCGGAAUUACUGGGCGUAAAGCGUGCGUAGGCGGUGUGUUAAGUCUGCUGUGAAAUCCCCGGGCUCAACCCCGGAACUGCAUCCGAUACUGCCGUGCUAGAGGAUUGGAGAGGUAGCUGGAAUUCUUGGUGUAGCAGUGAAAUGCGUGGAGAUCAAGAGGAACACUCGUGGCGAAAGCGAGCUACUGGACAAUAUCUGACGCUGAGGCUCGAAGGCCAGGGUAGCGAAAGGGAUUAGAUACCCGAGUAGUCCCUGUCUCUUAUAC